rnacentral:lncRNA from 1 species
UGUAUCCCAAGAAACACAUGAGUGCAGAAUUCAUAUUUCAGAGUACGUGAGUGAAAUAAACAUACAUUAUGCUAACAGAAACAUAUUAUGCACAUAAUAAAACGAUAGGAAAACAUAGAUUAAGAAACUUUAUCACGUUAGCCAUAAAUUUAAAGUGAAUAAAUUAAAAUAAAUAGAACAAUGAGUAGAUAAGUAUAAUAAAUGACUGAAGAA